GGGUUUCUGACUAUCACCCUAAGUUUGUUCACUUUUAAUCUCAAGAAGUCAGUUUGGGAUGAAAAUAAAGAGAACCUGAGACAGCCUAAAUCCACAAAACAGAGAAGGAAGUGGUGCUGUUUUAAGACAAAAUAUGGUAAAAACAAAAAGUGCUUUAGUUUUUCUCUUAACUGCACCUUGUAUGAAAGUAACUUAAAAUAUCCAUGACAUUAUUUCUAAAAGCAUCAUCAGUUUUAGUUCCUAAAACUUUUUCACAGUUCUUUUUAAGAUUAACAUGUGCUAAUUCUGCAGAUUUGAUUUGACAGAUCUCCUGCUUUGUCCGCUCAACAAUUUCCUGUUCUCAUCCUCAGUACAUAUAGACAGUAACUGAUGUGGCAUGACACAGUCCGUGGGUAAACCUUUGGUGAUCUGAGUUAUUCACCUGCAGCUUGCAGAAAAAGAAGACGACAAAAUAAGAGGAGGUGAUGAUGAUUAAGGUCUAUCUGCUCCUUUGGGCUCUCGCUGUCCCACUAAUUUCAUCAGAGGAAGAAGGUUCUGCCGAUGCCCCUACUGAUGAUGAUGGCUCAUAUUCAGAUGAAGAUGAGCCAGUCUGCUCUUCUGGUGCCUCAGCCCUGAUUACCACUGACUUUUCCUUCUCUUACCUCAAUCCCACUCACCUGGUCUAUGCGUUCUUAGUUUUGUGCCUGUUGGCACGUUAAACUCAUCUUGUAUCAGGUUUGUUGUGUCAACAUUUUGCUGAAUUGUGUAAAACAUACUUUGAGAAUCUGUUUAGUGAAAUUGUUUGUUGUCUGAGAAAAAAAGUGAUGUGUUGGUUUGCAGACAAUGUUAUCUCUAAAUUAACUUCUGAUAAACUGUGCAUAGUCGCUCUGUAACCACAAGCUAAAGCAAUAAAGUUUGAUACGGUCUGAUAAGAUUUACUUAUGGGUUUCAAAAUGGCAAGACUUUUUUUCAUCAUCAUCCUCUUUUCAGAGGUUG
rnacentral:lncRNA from 1 species